UUUUUGUCAAAUUUCCGAUUUUUCAAUGUUCAUUUAGCUUCUUCAAUUCAAAGCUCUUUAACUCCCAAAAAUCAAAAUCCACCAGAGAGUUCAGAAGAGAAAAAGCGAGACUCACAUGGCUUCUGUGCCUUUCUCUUCGCCUCUCCGGAGUCUAACCCUGUUCAAAACUAAUCCAAACUCUUAUUCCUCGGGGCCUUCAAUGGCUUUCUUUGUUCCUUCUGCCAAGUCCUCACUUGGGUCCUCUACAUGUGCUUUUCUGCAACAUGGAUUCUCUCUGCAAUCGCUAAAAUUCCCUGGUGUUCUCUCAAAAACUCGUUCUUUUGGUGUUUACGCGAGAGCUGCCACUGAGAAAACUAUACACGACUACUCUGUGAAGGACAUUGAUGGGAAGGAGGUUUCUCUUAACAAAUUUAAGGGGAAAAUUCUAUUGAUUGUCAAUGUUGCUUCAAAAUGUGGUUUAACAUCAUCAAAUUACACGGAACUCUCACACCUGUAUGAGAAGUACAAGACUCAAGGAUUUGAAAUUCUUGCUUUCCCUUGUAAUCAAUUUGGAGGACAAGAGCCUGGGUCAAAUCCUGAGAUCAAACAAUUUGCUUGUACCAGGUUCAAAGCAGAAUUCCCAAUAUUUGAUAAGGUGGAUGUAAAUGGACCAAAUACAGCUCCAGUUUAUAAAUUCCUGAAGUCGAGUGCUGGAGGAUUUUUAGGUGAUGUGAUCAAGUGGAAUUUUGAGAAGUUCCUGGUGGACAAGAAUGGUAAGGUUGUGGAGAGAUAUCCACCAACAACAUCACCUUUCCAAAUCGAGAAGGACAUUCAGAAGCUGCUUGCAGCAUAAAUGCUGUUGAGCCUCAGUUAUAUCACCUGACCGGAGAAAAUUAAAUCAGCAUGUGUAAAUUUCUGCAGCAGGCAAUCACAGAUAUACAAGUGUCUUUCUAUAAUGGAGUUCUGACAUAAUUUUUUCCUAAAAUAAUGGAUAAAUUUGAUACAAAUAUUUGCGCUUUUAUUAUUUGUUCAUCUUGCUGUCAUAUUUUUUUUUU
rnacentral:misc_RNA from 1 species